AAAAUCUUUAGGCCUUUUAAGAAUGAAAAUGGCAAGAAUUCCAAAAGAAAGCCUGUCAUAAAGGUCACGUCAUAUACAGGGGAGGACAAAAGAGAUUUGGGAGGAGCCACUGAAGAAACAAAGGAAGGCACAGUGUUGGUUAAAAGAAUCAAAAGAGCAACAGUUGUCUCCACCAGAAAGACUUUGGGAUCUG